AUACCUUUCUCGGCCUUUUGGCUAAGAUCAAGUGUAGUAUCUGUUCUUAUCAGUUUAAUAUCUGAUAUGUGGCUCAUUGGGUCACACGAUAUUAAAUUUAUUUUUUGAGGGGAAGAGUCCACCACAUUAGCUUGCUAUUGGGUCUCUUGCAUGUCGCUUUUGCUUUGCACUAUAGCAAUUGCCUGGCGUACCCCAC